AGCCUUAGGAAAAAGAUCUUAGGUCAGACCUGCCCAAUGUAGUUAGAUGAAUGGCCGCGGUACUUUGACCGUGCUAAGGUAGCGCAAUCAAUUGGCUUUUAAUUGGAGCCAGGUAUGAAUGGAGUCACGGGGUUUAGCUGUCUCUUAAUUAAUAUAUUGAAGUUACUAUUUAGGUGAAAAAGCCUAAGAAAAAAAGGGGGACGAGAAGACCCUUAGAGUUUUCCUUAAUUUGAUAUUAUUACUUAUCACAAUGGUUUGGUUGGGGCAACAUAGGAUCAUUAAACAUCCUUAAAAUAGAUUAACCGAUUUUUAUAAAUGUAAAUAAACUACCUUAGGGAUAACAGCAUAAUUUUAUAGAUAAGUUUGUGACCUCGAUGUUGGACUAGGGAACUAAUUGGCUAGCCGCUUUUUAGGUAAGUUCUGUUCGAACUAGAAUUCCU
rnacentral:rRNA from 1 species